rnacentral:rRNA from 2 species
AUGGUUGCAAAGCUGAAACUUAAAGGAAUUGACGGAAGGGCACCACCAGGAGUGGAGCCUGCGGCUUAAUUUGACUCAACACGGGAAACCUCACCAGGCCCAGACACUAGCAGGAUUGACAGAUUAAGAGCUCUUUCUCGAUUUGGUGGGUGGUGGUGCAUGGCCGUUCUUAGUUGGUGGAGUGAUUUGUCUGGUUAAUUCCGGUAACGAACGAGACUCUGGCCUACUAAAUAGUCGACGUGGUGCUAUGGCCACGGUCGAAACUAUCUUCUUAGAGGGAUGAGCAGCAAGUGCAGCUGCAGGAGAGUGAGCAAUAACAGGUCUGUGAUGCCCUUAGAUGUUCUGGGCCGCACGCGCGCUACACUGAAAGGGUUAGCGGGUCUACCUUCUCCGAGAGGAGCGGGAAAUCGCUACAAAACCUUUCAUGAUUGGGAUUGGGGCUUGCAACUGUUCCCCAUGAACGAGGAAUUCCCAGUAAGCGCAAGUCAUCAGCUUGCGUUGAUUAAGUCCCUGCCCUUUGUACACACCGCCCGUCGCUACUACCGAUUGAAUGAUUUAGUGAGGCCUUCGGACUGGCGGCUUGGACUGGGCUCCGCUCGUCACCCCUUCACGCCUUGUGCGCGCUGGGGCCGGUGGGCUCGCCUCGACGCGCCGGAAAGAUGUCCAAA